rnacentral:rRNA from 1 species
UAGGGAAUCUUCCGCAAUGGGCGAAAGCCUGACGGAGCAACGCCGCGUGAGUGAUGAAGGUCUUCGGAUCGUAAAACUCUGUUAUUAGGGAAGAACAAAUGUGUAAGUAACUAUGCACGUCUUGACGGUACCUAAUCAGAAAGCCACGGCUAACUACGUGCCAGCCGCCGCGGUAAUACGUAGGUGGCAAGCGUUAUCCGGUAUUAUUGGGCGUAAAGCGCGCGUAGGCGGUUUUUUAAGUCUGAUGUGAAAGCCCACGGCUCAACCGUGGAGGGUCAUUGGAAACUGGAAAACUUGAAUGCAGAAGAGGAAAGUGGAAUUCCAUGUGUAGCGGUGAAAUGCGGAGAGAUAUGGAGGAACACCAGUGGCGAAGGCGACUUUCUGGUCUGUAACUGACGCUGAUGUGCGAAAGCGUGGGGAUCAAACAGG